CAACCUGCCGUCUACUCUUGGACAGCCUUCUGAAAGGAAGAUUAAUACAAGAUGGCAUCAUGAGUCCGCAUGUUCACAUGAUUAAAGGUAUUCCGGUAGACGAUGGGGAUGCGUUCCAUUAGAUAGUAGGCGGGGUAACGGCCCACCUAGUCUUCGAUGGAUAGGGGUUCUGAGAGGAGGGUCCCCCACAUUGGAACUGAGACACGGUCCAAACUCCUACGGGAGGCAGCAGUGAGGAAUAUUGGUCAAUGGGCGAGAGCCUGAACCAGCCAAGUAGCGUGAAGGAUGACUGCCCUAUGGGUUGUAAACUUCUUUUAUAAAGGAAUAAAGUCGGGUAUGCAUACCCGUUUGCAUGUACUUUAUGAAUAAGGAUCGGCUAACUCCGUGCCAGCAGCCGCGGUAAUACGGAGGAUCCGAGCGUUAUCCGGAUUUAUUGGGUUUAAAGGGAGCGUAGAUGGAUGUUUAAGUCAGUUGUGAAAGUUUGCGGCUCAACCGUAAAAUUGCAGUUGAUACUGGAUAUCUUGAGUGCAGUUGAGGCAGGCGGAAUUCGUGGUGUAGCGGUGAAAUGCUUAGAUAUCACGAAGAACUCCGAUUG
rnacentral:rRNA from 1 species